ACUGAUUUUGAGAAUUUAGGAAAAAGGACUUUAACAAGUUUAAGAGAAUGGAUAGGAACGACAUCUGUUUGCUGCUGUUUGAUUUCUUAGUUCUGAUAUCUGGUUAUCUGUCAUAUGUAAAUACUUGUUGCGUGUAGGUAAGAUUAUCUAAUAUCAUGUUAAUAUAAGAAUGUUUUGAUUUUUCGCUUAAAAGAAAAGAUGACAUGUAUUAAUUGUAGUGUACAUCCGCAUCUAUAAAAAGGUGGUGUGCUAAGGCCGUCAGAUUCUAUUUUUCAUUUGCUCAAUAAAUUAAUAUCAUAC
rnacentral:misc_RNA from 1 species